UACGUAGGGUGCAAGCGUUGUCCGGAAUUAUUGGGCGUAAAGAGCUCGUAGGCGGUUUGUCGCGUCUGCUGUGAAAACUCGAGGCUCAACCUCGAGAUGUCGAUGGAAACCGUCUGGCUAGAGUCCGGAAGAGGAGUGUGGAAUUCCUGGUGUAGCGGUGUAAUGCGCAGAUAUCAGGAAGAACACCUAUGGCGAAGGCAGCACUCUGGGACGGUACUGACGCUGAGACGCGAAAGCGUGGGGAGCGAACAGG
rnacentral:rRNA from 1 species